UCACCCCUCAAGCCCCGUGCUUGGUGUUGGACGGUCGGUCGAGGACUCCCCUCGACCCCUCCUAAAGACAAUGACGGCGGCCUGUGGUUCCCCCGGUACACUGAGCUUCUAACCGAGCACGUACCGGACGAGGGCGCCCAGGACCCGGUCUUCUCCUCUCGCGAGGAAAUAUUUUUCUAA
rnacentral:misc_RNA from 1 species